rnacentral:rRNA from 1 species
AACGAACGCUGGCGGCGCGCCUAAUACAUGCAAGUCGAGCGAGAAGACGUAGCAAUACGUUUGUAAAGCGGCGAACGGGUGAGGAAUACAUGGGUAACCUACCCUCGAGUGGGGAAUAACUAGCCGAAAGGUUAGCUAAUACCGCGUACGCUCCUUGGACUUCGGUUCAGGGAGGAAAGCGAUACCGUGGGUAUCGCGCUCUUGGAUGGGCUCAUGUCCUAUCAGCUUGUUGGUGAGGAACGGCUCACCAAGGCUUCGACGGGUAGCUGGUCUGAGAGGACGAUCAGCCACACUGGCACUGCGACACGGGCCAGACUCCUACGGGAGGCAGCAGUAAGGAUAUUGCGCAAUGGGCGAAAGCCUGACGCAGCGACGCCGCGUGGGGGAGUGAA